CCUACGGGAGGCAGCAGUCGAGAAUUAUUCACAAUGGGGGAAACCCUGAUGGUGCGACGCCGCGUGGGGGAAUGAAGGUCUUCGGAUUGUAAACCCCUGUCAUGUGGGAGCAAAUUAAAAAGAUCGUACCACAAGAGGCAGAGACGGCUAACUCUGUGCCAGCAGCCGCGGUAAUACAGAGGUCUCAAGCGUUGUUCGGAAUCACUGGGCGUAAAGCGUGCGUAGGCUGUUUCGUAAGUCGUGUGUGAAAGGCGCGGGCUCAACCCGCGGACGGCACAUGAUACUGCGAGACUAGAGUAAGGGAGGGGGAACCGGAAUGCUCGGUGUAGCAGUGAAAUGCGUAGAUAUCGAGAGGAACACUCGUGGCGAAGGCGGGUUCCUGGACAGUAACUGACGCUGAGGCACGAAGGCCAGGGGAGCGAAAGGGAUUAGAUACCCGGGUAGUC
rnacentral:rRNA from 1 species